CUUCCUGCACUCACGCCCCCAGUGGAGCUCAAACAGGAAGUGACGCAAACCUAGAAGAUGGCGUCCACAAAGCCUACGAAUCGCUCAGGUUUGCUGCUAGCCGUCUGCUGUUGAGCCCGAACCGGGGCUCUGGAGCUCUGGGGCGGCGACACCAUGGCGGCGGCUCGCUGUAGUCGGAACUGACGGCGCCGCCGAAGCAAACACGGCUCGUGUGGAUUCUCAGCGCCGCCGAGGCUGGAAACGCAAAGACGGGAAAUGCCAGCGGCUGGUUGGAGCUCCGACAUGUGUGACCAACGCUGACUCGGAGGGUCUUUGUGGUUGGCAUCCGCUGGGCACACUGGGGCGCUGUCCUCUGAUUGGCUGGGACAACCCCUUCUGACAUGCCUGUGGCCAAUCAGAGGUGUGUUAUGUCGGGGGCGGAUGUGGAGGUGUAUCUUUCCCAGGUACACGACGGAAGUGUGUCGUCGGGCUUCCGGGCGCUGUACGAGGAGCGUCUGCUGCUGGACGUCACGUUGAUGAUCGACGAGCACCACUUCCAGGCCCACAAGGCGCUCCUGGCCACCCAGAGCGACUACUUCCGGGUCAUGUUCACGGCGGACAUGCGUGAGCGGGACCAGGACAAGAUCCACUUGAAGGGGCUGACGGCGGCGGGCUUCGGGCACAUCCUUCGCUUCAUGUACUACGGCUCGCUGGAGCUCAGCAUGCCCACCGUGCAGGAGAUCCUACAGGCGGCGAUGUACGUGCAGCUGACGGAGGCGGUGGAGUUCUGCUGCUCCUUCCUGCUGGCCAAGAUCUGCCUGGAGAACUGCGCCGAGGUCAUGCGGCUGCUGGAGGACUUCAGCGUGGGCGUGGAGGGUGUCCAAGAGCAGCUGGACAACUUCCUCCUCGACAACUUCGUGCCGCUCAUGAGCCGUGCCGACUUCCUGUCCUACCUCAGCCUGGAGAGACUGCAGGCGUACCUGAACAGCGACGCGCUGAGCCGCUACCCGGAGAUCGAGCUGUACGAAGCGGUCCAGGCGUGGCUCCGGCACGACCGCCGGCGCUGGCGCCACACGGACGCCGUCGUCCGCUCCGUUCGCUUCUGCCUCAUGACAUCUGCCAACAUCUUCGAGAAGGUGAAGACGUCGGAGUUCUACCGCUACUCCCGGCAGCUGCGUCAGGAGGUGGACCAGGCGCUGGCCUACUUCCACGACGUCAACCGGCAACCGCUGGCCGAGACGCGCGCCAACCGCAUCCGCUCGCGGCGCCCGCAGACGGCCGUCUUCCGCGGCAUGAUCGGCCACAGCAUGGUGAACAGCAAGAUCCUGCUGCUGCAGCGGCCCAAGGUGUGGUGGGAGCUGGAGGGCCCCCAGGUGCCGCUGAGACCCGACUGCCUGGCCAUCGUCAACGACUUCGCCUUCCUGCUGGGAGGCGAGGAGCUGGGGCCCGAUGGCGAGUUCCACGCCUCGUCCAAGGUUUACCGCUACGACCCCCGGCAAAACUCGUGGCUGCGCAUGGCCGACAUGUCCGUGCCCAGAUCUGAGUUCGCCGUCGGCGUCAUCGGAACGUUCAUCUACGCGGUGGCGGGUCGCACGCGUGACGAGACCUUCUACUCCACGGAGCGCUACGACAUCGCAGAAGACCGCUGGGAGUUCGUGGACCCGUAUCCCGUCAACAAGUACGGGCACGAGGGCACGGUCCUGGGCGGCAAGCUCUACAUCACGGGCGGCAUCACGUCCUCGUCCACCUCCAAGCAGGUGUGCGUCUUCGAUCCCGCGCGGGAAGCGACGGCGGGAGGGGCCUCGGGCGGGUCGGACUCCCUGCGGGCGCGCGGGGGCCGUGGCCCGCCGCCGCCCGCCUCCCACGCCGGCUGCUGGGACAACAAAUCCAAAAUGAACUACGCCCGCUGCUUCCACAAGAUGAUCUCUCACAACGGGAAGCUGUACGUGUUCGGGGGCGUGUGCGUCAUCCUGCGCGCCUCCUUCGAGUCGCAGGGCUGCCCGUCCACCGAGGUCUACGACCCGGACGCCGACGAGUGGACCAUCCUGGCCUCCAUGCCCAUCGGGCGCAGCGGGCACGGCGUGGCCGUGCUGGAGCGCCAGAUCAUGGUGCUGGGGGGCCUGUGCUACAACGGACACUACAGCGACUCCAUUCUCACCUUCGACCCCGACGACAACAAGUGGAAGGAGGACGAGUAUCCCAGGAUGCCUUGCAAGCUGGACGGGCUGCAGGUGUGCACGCUGCACUUCCCCGAGUACGUGCUGGAGCACGUCAGACGCUGCAGCUGAGGUGGCGCUGUGCGCCGCGGCUCCGGGGCUGCUGCCGACUGCCGCCGCCUGCGAGGGCGCAAAAGGGAGCGCACAGCCGGCCAUGAGCAUCGACGAGCUGCCGUCCCUGUACAGCAGACCCGAGGAGGAUCGCCGUCG